AGUAACACGUGGUCAACCUUCCCUACAGUGGGGAUAACUAGCCGAAAGGUUAGCUAAUACCGCAUAACAUCUACGAGCGGCAUCGCUUGUAGAUCAAAGGAGCAAUCCGCUGAAGGACGGGACCGCGUCCCAUUAGUUAGUUGGUGGGGUAAUGGCCUACCAAGACUCCGAUGGGUAGCUGGUUUGAGAGAGCGACCAGCCACACUGGGACUGAGAAACGGCCCAG
rnacentral:rRNA from 1 species